UACGUAGGGUGCAAGCGUUGUCCGGAAUUAUUGGGCGUAAAGAGCUCGUAGGCGGUUUGUUGCGUCGGCUGUGAAAUCCCGAGGCUCAACCUCGGGUCUGCAGUCGAUACGAGCAAACUAGAGUGUUGCAGGGGAGACUGGAAUUCCUGGUGUAGCGGUGGAAUGCGCAGAUAUCAGGAGGAACACCGAUAGCGAAGGCAGCUCGCUGGGACGGUACUGACGCUGAGGCGCGAAAGCGUGGGGAGCAAACGGG
rnacentral:rRNA from 1 species